rnacentral:lncRNA from 1 species
CUUCAUUUCUCUCUCUCUCUCACGCGCCGCCCUUGGAUUCUUCAACUAUAUAUACCGCAUCGCGUCCCGCUUCCUGUUCAAUCUUCAAUCCUUCAUUUUCUCUUUAAACUCAUAUCUUUUGUUUGAAUCUUUGUUCUAAAAUUUUCAUUUCUUUUACCGAAUUUAUUGCUCGAUCGAAGAUGAAUUCAAUGUUGAGCGCUAAAUCGUGGAGUUUCUCCAUUAUCGGAUUUAUGCUGAUGGCGUUAAUCCGGUACAGUAACGGACAAGGAAUGGCGCCGUCGCCGGCACCGGCUGGAUCUUCCAACGACGGUGAGUAUCUUCAUUGGAAAUGUAUAUUUCUCUUUGUGAAACACGUGAUUUUACUCAUGAAAACUGUUCGAAAUUCUAGAUUUGUCUCAACAUCUUCAUUUUCUAUUUCAGUUGUUAAAAUCGGAAGAAAUUGCUGAAUUGUUAAUUACAGUUUCUUUGUUUCUUUUUGAAAACUUGAAUUUCUUUCUUCCAAUUUCUUCCUCCUCUUCUAUUCGUCAUCAUCAUCAUCAUCAAGUGAGCAAGGAUUUACCAAUUAUUAACUGAAAAUUCAUUGAUUUAUUUGAUGCAGGCGCGGCAAUUGAUCAAGGGAUUGCAUAUGUUCUCCUAUUUGUAGCACUCGCGAUCACGUACUUAAUCCACUGAUGUUAGUAAUUAUUUUAAAAGUUUGAAAUUAUAUUAUUAGUGCGAUUAAUUCAAUUUUAUUUUUUUUAAUGUAUUUUCUCCUAUUAUUGAGAGUAUAAAUUUGAAUUAUUUGUAUUUUCAAAUUUGCACCACUAUUGUAAAGAAACUAGUUUUAUGCCAAUGCAAUGCACGAGUUGCUGUUUUCUUAAAGUAAUGUUAGUGCGUAAGUAUCAUGGAUUUACGAGACAGAUGUACUAUAAAUGAGUUUCUGAAAACCAAAGAGAGUAUUUAAUUGAUAUAUGUUAGCAUUUUUCAGGGGUCUAGUUGUACCAAAUAUGGUAGAGGCAACAAUGACCAUGGAAUUGUUCUAACUCCUUCAUAUCGGCACAUGAAUAUCAAACUCGGUACCAUCAUCUCGUUUGCGUCCCUUAGCAAAUGUGAAAAAGAAAAUGACUAAAACGUAAAGGAAUAUAAAUAAGAUAAGGUAUACAAAUUCAUAAAAUUACAAAAGGAGUAACAUCAAAUACUAAAAUUAGCUUAAAAUAAGCAGCUAAAACAAGAAGAAAAAUGGAAAAAUGCAAACAUGACAAGCAAGGAAGAACGUCAAGAACAGAAAAACAUUUUUAUUCAUUAACUUUCUUUUCUCAUUUAGAUAUACAGCCAAUAAAACUGAGAACAUAAUAGUGUAUUAAGCAGUUAAGAAGGUCACCCAAGAGAAGCGAAUUAUUAUGUUUCCAAGCAUAUGGUCUAUAAAUCUCCAUACAAUAUCGUUCAAUAGCUUCACAAUCCUCCAGUUUUCUAAGAUAGAAGUAAAUGCCCGAUAUUGUUUACAUCCUGAGAAAUAAUCAUUUCUCAUACAUUCUAACUGAGUAACCAUAGCCAUCAACUCUUCUAUAAUUAAAGGGUUUAAUAUAGUUAAAAAUAUCAAGUUAUUGCCUUCAUCAUUUAUCUUUAAGGUGAGAGAAUUAUCAUUUAUUUCACAUGAUAUGGUCUACCGACAUAAACAUGGUGCAUUAUAAUUAGAAAUGGCAGUAUGUUGCUAUUUAGAAAUCAAACCAUGAGCACUUCAUAGAACAAACAAUAUUGGAAUCAUCUGUUUGCAAUUUCAGGGACAGAGAAUGGAGAAAGAAUGUAUACCAUGACUUUGUCAACUAGCUAUAAACUUACAAG